UGUAAUCUGCCACCGGGUAGAAAAUGUUCGGCGAAAGAAUGAUUGCCGAAGCAUUUGCCUGCACAUCGUUAGGUCUUUGAAGAUGUGCGAGCAAAUGCUUUUUUGUU
rnacentral:ncRNA from 1 species